rnacentral:rRNA from 1 species
UACGGGAGGCAGCAGUGGGGAAUAUUGCACAAUGGGCGCAAGCCUGAUGCAGCCAUGCCGCGUGUAUGAAAAAGGCCUUCGGGUUGUAAAGUACUUUCAGUCGUGAGGAAGGUGUUAAGGUUAAUAACCUUAGCAAUUGACGUUAGCGACAGAAGAAGCACCGGCUAACUCCGUGCCAGCAGCCGCGGUAAUACGGAGGGUGCGAGCGUUAAUCGGAAUUACUGGGCGUAAAGGGCACGCAGGCGGUUAAUUAAGUUGGAUGUGAAAUCCCCGGGCUUAACCUGGGAAUGGCAUUCAAGACUGGUUAGCUAGAGUCUUGUAGAGGGGGUAGAAUUCCAUGUGUAGCGGUGAAAUGCGUAGAGAUGUGGAGGAAUACCGGUGGCGAAGGCGGCCCCUGGACAAAGGCUGACGCUCAUGUGCGAAAGCGUGGGGAGCAAAC